AUUGAACGCUGGCGGCAGGCCUAACACAUGCAAGUCGAGCGGAUGAAGGGAGCUUGCUCCUGGAUUCAGCGGCGGACGGGUGAGUAAUGCCUAGGAAUCUGCCUGGUAGUGGGGGAUAACGUCCGGAAACGGGCGCUAAUACCGCAUACGUCCUGAGGGAGAAAGUGGGGGAUCUUCGGACCUCACGCUAUCAGAUGAGCCUAGGUCGGAUUAGCUAGUUGGUGGGGUAAAGGCCUACCAAGGCAACGAUCCGUAACUGGUCUGAGAGGAUGAUCAGUCACACUGGAACUGAGACACGGUCCAGACUCCUACGGGAGGCAGCAGUGGGGAAUAUUGGACAAUGGGCGAAAGCCUGAUCCAGCCAGGCCGCGUGUGUGAAGAAGGUCUUCGGAUUGUAAAGCACGUUAAGUUGGGAGGAAGGGCAGUAAGUUAAUACCUUGCUGUUUUGACGUUACCAACAGAAUAAGCACCGGCUAACUUCGUG
rnacentral:rRNA from 1 species